GCGUUUCUGCAGCGAACCUGAGAGAGUGUAAGUCAGGUGAAACAAAAUAAAGGACUGGCACUUUCUCUUGGCUAAUAGCCAAGCUAACAAUCAGAUAAAUGAAGUAAUAAAUUAGGGUGGAACCGCGUUUCAAACG
rfam:Streptococcus mutans TA159, complete genome.